rnacentral:rRNA from 1 species
UACCAGCACCCCGAGUGGUCGGGACGUUUAUUGGGCCUAAAGCAUCCGUAGCCGGUUCUACAAGUCUUCCGCUAGAUCCAACUGCUUAACAGGUGGGCUGCGGAAGAUACUAUAGAGCUAGGAGGCGGGAGAGGCAAGCGGUACUCGAUGGGUAGGGGUAAAAUCCGUUGAUCCAUUGAAGACCACCAGUGGCGAAGGCGGCUUGCCAGAACGCGCUCGACGGUGAGGGAUGAAAGCUGGGGGAGCAAACCGG